AUUUAAGUGGGAUGUGAAAUACUCGGGCUUAACCUGAGUGCUGCAUUCCAAACUGGAUAUCUAGAGUGCAGGAGAGGAAAGUGGAAUUCCUAGUGUAGCGGUGAAAUGCGUAGAUAUUAGGAAGAACACCAGUGGCGAAGGCGACUUUCUGGACUGUAACUGACACUGAGGCUCGAAAGCGUGGGGAGCGAACAGGAUUAGAU
rnacentral:rRNA from 1 species